UACGUAGGGUGCAAGCGUUAUCCGGAAUUAUUGGGCGUAAAGAGCUCGUAGGCGGUCUGUCGCGUCGGAUGUGAAAACCCAGGGCUCAACCCUGGGCCUGCAUUCGAUACGGGCAGACUAGAGUUCGGUAGGGGAGACUGGAAUUCCUGGUGUAGCGGUGAAAUGCGCAGAUAUCAGGAGGAACACCGGUGGCGAAGGCGGGUCUCUGGGCCGAAACUGACGCUGAGGAGCGAAAGCGUGGGGAGCAAACAGG
rnacentral:rRNA from 1 species